rnacentral:rRNA from 1 species
GACGAACGCUGGCGGCGUGCUUAACACAUGCAAGUCGAACGGAAAGGCCCUGCUUUUGUGGGGUGCUCGAGUGGCGAACGGGUGAGUAACACGUGAGUAACCUGCCCUCGACUUUGGGAUAACUUCAGGAAACUGGGGCUAAUACCGGAUAGGAGCUCCUGCUGCAUGGUGGGGGUUGGAAAGUUUCGGCGGUUGGGGAUGGACUCGCGGCUUAUCAGCUUGUUGGUGGGGUAGUGGCUUACCAAGGCUUUGACGGGUAGCCGGCCUGAGAGGGUGACCGGCCACAUUGGGACUGAGAUACGGCCCAGACUCCUACGGGAGGCAGCAGUGGGGAAAAUUGCACAAUGGGCGGAAGCCUGAUGCAGCAACGCCGCGUGCGGGAUGACGGCCUUCGGGUUGUAAACCGCUUUCGCCUGUGACGAAGCGUGAGUGACGGUAAUGGGUAAAGAAGCACCGGCUAACUACGUG